GGAUAUGGCGAAAUUGGUAGACG
rnacentral:tRNA from 1 species